CAGCGGAGCGUGUGGUUUAAUUCGAUGCUACACGAAGAACCUUACCAGGGUUUGACAUACAAGUAGUAGGGAAAGGAAACUGGACCGACCCUUCGGGAGCUUGUACAGGUGCUGCAUGGCUGUCGUCAGCUCGUGUCGUGAGAUGUUCGGUUAAGUCCGCUAACGAGCGCAACCCUCGUCGUAUGUUAUAUGUGUCAUACGAGACUGCCGGUAAAAAGCCGGAGGAAGGUGAGGAUGAUGUCAAGUCAGCAUGACCUUUAUAUCCAGGGCUACACACACGCUACAAUGGUCUGUACAAUGGGUAGCCAAGCCGCGAGGCGGAGCCAAUCCUGAAAGCAGGCCUCAGUUCAGAUUGCAGUCUGCAACUCGACUGCAUGAAGCCGGAGUUGCUAGUAACCGCAGGUCAGCAAUACUGCGGUGAAUACGUUCCCGGGUCUU
rnacentral:rRNA from 1 species